rnacentral:rRNA from 1 species
UACGUAGGGGGCAAGCGUUGUCCGGAAUCAUUGGGCGUAAAGCGCGUGUAGGCGGCUCGGUAAGUCCGCUCUGAAAGUCCAGGGCUCAACCCUGGGAUGCGGGUGGAUACUGCCGGGCUCGAGUCCGGAAGAGGCGAGUGGAAUUCCCGGUGUAGCGGUGAAAUGCGCAGAUAUCGGGAGGAACACCAAUGGCGAAGGCGGCCAGCUAGACCAGUUCUGACACUGAGGCGCGACAGCGUGGGGAGCAAACAGG